UACGUAGGGUCCUAGCGUUUGUCCGGAUUUAUUGGGCGUAAAGAGCUCGUAGGCGGUUCGGCAAGUCGGAUGUGAAAUCUCCACGCUUAACGUGGAGGGGCCAUCGAAACUGCCGUGACUCGAGUCCGGUAGGGAGUGUGGAAUUCCCGGUGUAGCGGUGAAAUGCGUAGAUAUCUGGAGGAACACCGGUGGCGAAGGCGGCAUCCUGGACGAGAUUGACGCUGAGGCGCGAAAGCCAGGGGAGCCAAAGCGGG
rnacentral:rRNA from 1 species